GCCUCUUGAUUAAACCAUAAGAGGUCCAGCCUGCCCAGUGACAUUGUUCAACGGCCGCGGUAUCCUAACCGUGCGAAGGUAGCGUAAUCACUUGUCCUUUAAAUGAAGACUAGUAUGAAUGGCCCCACGAAAGCUAUACUGUCUCCUUUUUCUAAUCAGUUAAACUAAUCUCCCCGUGAAGAAGCGGGGAUAAACAUAUAAGACGAGAAGACCCUAUGGAGCUUCAAACAACUGAAACACUUGUAUAUCCUCCCUCACCUGCCAACAUUUAACCUCACAUUUUGUUUCUAGUUUUAGGUUGGGGUGACCACGGAGAAAAAACUAACCUCCACGACGAAAGAGACAUCUCUAAACAAAAAGCUACAUCUUUAUGUAUUAACACAUUAACCUUUAUUGACCCA
rnacentral:rRNA from 1 species